GGUUAUAUACGGCAUUACGGCCGGCCGAGGGGAUGUUUAACCUCCCAAAUCACCCGUGUUUGGGUGGGUGCCUAAAUUUUCCCCUGUCAACUACCAUCAGAAGUCAGAACAGCAGCAAGCUGGGCUGGAAUUCUGCACCCACAGUCCAGUCGAUCUGUAUGCAAGUACACACUCUUUGAUCCGCGUCUCAUAUUGAUUUGAUGACUGGGUUCAUACGGUGCGCCUCAUAUUUUGGGCUCUUGCAAACCAUAGGAUAAGAAGAUUCGCUUGAUAAAAUAGGCCAAGAUGAGAAUCACGAGGCCAUUUAGUUAUGACCUUACAAAUUGUCCACUUGUCAGCACUCUUCGAGAUUGAUCUGUCAGGAUGGAGGAAUAUCACGAGGUGUUGAAAGAUACUUACUACUACAUGAUUAUCUCAUCCACCUGAAAUAUUUAACCACUAGCAUUUUUUUUACAUCCAUGUGCAGGGUACUGUGUACUUUCUAGUACUGAUACGCUGUCUGCAUUAAUUUACAACAACUACUUUGUUGUAAAAGAUAGAUUUUGUCUUGUCAAGGCGAUUUGUUUUCAUUAUACAUACAUACAUCAGUACAUUUUCCAGUACUAAACUACUAAUGCUCCGUGAGGAUACUGAAUUUGGAGCGGUAAAAUCUCUGGAUAGCUGACGCAUGUGCUUGGUUAUGCUUAA